CUGAUGCCUGCAUUAAAAACAACAGCAGCAACAACAACAACAACAACAACAACAUAGGUGAUUCUGAUGAUCACCAGGAUUGAAAACCACUGGACCAUUGCUUUGAGAGAUGGUGCCAUGGCCAGAGACAGAGGUCCACUAUCCAUUGGUUGAUAUCCAUUCUUCUGUGGAGAAUCCUGCUGGUUAUAUAUCAAUUAUCUGGUGAAAGAGACACUUCUUUGCAUCUCUUCCAAACUUGGCCCUCAGAGACUUCAUGUUGGAAACUUAAAAUCGGCCAGAAUACUGGAAUCUCUCUCUUUGUGCUGAGCUGCCUGGAACUUGGGGAAGGAUUACACAAGCACCCCUCUGGCCACUACCACCAGGACUAUACCGGAAGAAGUCUCUCCCUGUGGCCACCACCACGUGACACCUA